AAUCCACAGAACAGGUGCAGCAUAGGCAACAGCAAUGAACGUUUCCCCACACUGCCCUGCUAUUGCACCUCAAAUCUGACCUGGAGGAGAUGACCUCCAGGGUU
rnacentral:sRNA from 1 species